rnacentral:rRNA from 1 species
AGUGAACGCUGGCGGUAGGCCUAACACAUGCAAGUCGAACGGCAGCACAGUAAGAGCUUGCUCUUACGGGUGGCGAGUGGCGGACGGGUGAGGAAUACAUCGGAAUCUACUUUUUCGUGGGGGAUAACGUAGGGAAACUUACGCUAAUACCGCAUACGACCUACGGGUGAAAGCAGGGGAUAUUCGGACUUUGCGCGAUUGAAUGAGCCGAUGUCGGAUUAGCUAGUUGGCGGGGUAAAGGCCCACCAAGGCGACGAUCCGUAGCUGGUCUGAGAGGAUGAUCAGCCACACUGGAACUGAGACACGGUCCAGACUCCUACGGGAGGCAGCAGUGGGGAAUAUUGGACAAUGGGCGCAAGCCUGAUCCAGCCAUACCGCGUGGGUGAAGAAGGCCUUCGGGUUGUAAAGCCCUUUUGUUGGGAAAGAAAAGCAGCAGGUUAAUACCCCGCUGUUCUGACGGUACCCAAAGAAUAAGCACCGGCUAACUUCGUG